UCGCAUUCUUGUUAUGGAGAUUAUUAUAGCUUUCACAUCCACAAAUUAGAAUGCUUGGAAUUCGAUGAAGACAGAUAACAUAAGUGUCUUAAAGCAGAAUGCUUUGAACAAAAAUAGGUAUAAGGUCCUUAUCUCCAAACACUAUAUGGCUGUCCUCCUUUCUGUGAAAGCGGCGGGCCUAGUGCUGCAGGAUGAAAACAUUCCAAUACUGCUCUACAUCAGGUAGGUUUCUUGAACAUCAAGUUGCUUCACGUCUACAGGCAUUGUAUACCAGUCAUUAAAACCACUUAAUAGGGAUGAAAGGGUUACCGGUUUCACGAUAAACCACGGUAAAAACCCAGACGAUUAGUAUUAGCGUUUAAUCUAUUUAAUUAUCAUUAAAACCAUGUUUGAUUACCUCGGUUUCAAAAACUCACGGUAAAUACUGUCCAGCAUCAACCAAAGUUAGCAACAGUCUGCAACGUGGGUUUUGUUUUGUGUCAAAACAUGACGGAAGGCAAUGACAGCACUCGGGAGAUUUUUCAGCAUUCUAAGAGGACCAAAUCUGAAGUGUGGUCGUAUUUUGGGUUUUACAAGAGUGCUGAGGGAAACAUAAUCGAAGAUGGUCACCCUAUCUGCAGAACACGCAAAAAAAGUAUUAAAUCACUGCGAAAGGGGGUAACACUUCAAAUCUCUUCAUGACCACCACCCACUACUUUAUAGCGAACGCAAGAGUGGGUGUGCGGCAGGCAAACCCAGUGAUGCUACUGGUCCCUUGUCAUCUACAGUUGUGACACAGACACUCCAGCAAACAUUUAAAAGGCAGGCUGCUUAUGUACCCACAUCAAAAAAAUACUCAAGACCUCACCGCAGCCCUAUAAUAUCACAUCGAAAAGGACAUGAUGCCAUUUCAAACUGUUGAGAGGCCUGGCUUUCUGAGGCUGAUGAAGGUUGCCGUGGCUCACUACAAAGUGAGCGCUGCUAAUUGUGUUUGUUGUUUGUUUAUUUGAUGUGCUUACUCAAGGUUGUGUUCAUUUCAACCUGCACUAGGGAAACUUACCUCAUGGCCACAUGGUGCCAUCUUUAAUGUUAAAUGUUAUUAUUUUAAAUGUUUAUGUACACAAAAAGUGUAUAGUGCUGCUAAUUUUAUUUUUUGGUUUUCAAUAUAAACUUGGUGAAAUGA